GACGAACGCUGGCGGCGUGCUUAACACAUGCAAGUCGUACGGUAAGGCCCUUUCGGGGGUACACGAGUGGCGAACGGGUGAGUAACACGUGAGUAACCUGCCCACAACUUUGGGAUAACGCUAGGAAACUGGUGCUAAUACUGGAUAUGUGCUCCUGCUGCAUGGUGGGGGUUGGAAAGCUCCGGCGGUUGUGGAUGGACUCGCGGCCUAUCAGCUUGUUGGUGGGGUAGUGGCCUACCAAGGCGGCGACGGGUAGCCGGCCUGAGAGGGUGACCGGCCACAUUGGGACUGAGAUACGGCCCAGACUCCUACGGGAGGCAGCAGUGGGGAAUAUUGCACAAUGGGCGUAAGCCUGAUGCAGCAACGCCGCGGGCGGGAUGACGGCCUUCGGGUUGUAAACCGCUUUCAGCAGGGACGAAGCUUUUUGUGACGGUACCUGCAGAAGAAGCACCGGCUAACUACGUG
rnacentral:rRNA from 1 species